UUUCUGCCCGACAAGGGGGGAUGAGAACCCCCGACCGAGGUUCGACUGAACGGCAGGAUGGCCGUUCAGCAUGGCCAACGGCCACCCGGAGGGCGAGGCACACGGAUGUGCCGAGUGAUAUCCCCCCUCACCGCCA
rnacentral:sRNA from 1 species